UUCUCUCAAGGCGUCGUCCAGCUGCUUUCAUAGACCGUAACUCUGAAUUGUACCAUGGAGAAAAAAAAGGUUACACAAGUCAAAAAGCUGCUUAUUCCUACCAUUUGACUUUAGAAUUAGCCCACUAAGCCCUAGCAUGCAAACGUAUUUUAACAUUGAAGUCAGAGCAUCUUCUGUCUUUUCACAGAAGAUAAGUUGUAAUUAGAGGACAAAACUGGAGAAGGAUGGGGGAAGCUUGGCCACCAUCUAACAGCAAUCAAUCUUUAUUAAGCACUUCAGUACACUUCUAGUAUGGAUGAAUGAAGACAGUGAAUUUGGUGCACAGUGACUACUGAAUGGUACUGCUGCCAGGCCAAGCUAUCCUGCACCAUGAGAACAUAAAUAAGUUAAUACAAUACAAAGGAUAAAGAAGCCUUAGAAAAGUGAAGGAAUUUUUUCUUUAAUAUUUCUGUACUUCCUUUCUAGAGAAGAAAGUUAGAAAGUCACAAAUUCAAGUAUUUGAUGCUUGUCACAUCAUACCCAAGAGAACUUCAGGCUGGAAUGGCUGUCAAAGGUGCUUCCACAAAAUAUGAGGAGUGACUGUCAGACGAGUAAAACAGAUACCGAAUUGAUGGCAGUCAGGCACUGGUACACCAGCUUACUUCUCUUGCUGCUUGUGCUUGGAACCACUACUACUCUCCUUGGACAUAUAUUGAAACUGCAGAAUGGCUGGGAACCUUUGGCAAAGACUGAGACCAUGUAUUAUAUGAUUAAAUCACAAUUACAAGAGCCGUACCAGAUUGUAGCAUCGCUGACCAGCAUACAGAUGGCCAGAUUUUGACUUUGUGUAUUUCAAAGAACUGUGGGUACAUCUAGAGGCAGAACAUAGAAGUGUGCAGUCUAGGACAUACCCCAGAAGGAAGGCUUGAAGGCCAGAGAAUCCAGCAUGGCCAAGUAAGAUCAGGCACAAAGCUGAGGAACAACUCCUUCUGGGAGAUAUAAAUGAAGAAGAGACCAAUGGGAAGAUGAUCACGACAGGAAUGCUACAUAAGAUGCUGUUCUAGACACCCAUGCUCCUGUGGGGUUUUCUCUGGGUGCUCCAGUUCUCUUCUCAAAUAAAAAAGGAAUUGGUGUUAGCAGUUAUAGUCAGACAUUGUAUGAGUGAGUGCAGAAUUGUAUUUUGCGAGGUACUGACACCCAGUAUGGGUGAGGCCCGAUGUAAGAGAAACAGUCUUUAGUUCUUUGGGAGUCUGAACUGGAUUAGGCAAGAAAUGAAGGAUGGAUAUUACUGGUUCAUAUCUAUAAAUCUGUCUGUGUCCUCUAAGCUAGUCUUCAGAGAAGAAUGCUAUAUAAAGUUAAAGUGAACUGAACUUCCGAGUACAGAAAACCAAGAGGAUUCAAAUGUAAUAUUGGAAUCAUGAUUGGUAGGUGAAUGAAUUGUUAUAACAACAAGCACUCUGCCAGAAUUAGACAAGAUAAUAGGCACAGUAGUAACUCUUGACAUAAAGUAUUUCCAUUUUAUGUGGAUUGCCAUAGCUUAAAAAACUGAAGUGUAAAUUAAAUCAAUACUACCAGACACAAGUGGCAACUGUAAUGCCUAUUAGAAGGAUGAAUCCAAAUAUGAACUUUAAAAGCAGUCUGUCACUAUAUAUUAUGUCAAUCCCCACAUAUGCUGGAGCUCUCCAGCUGUAAAUAUGGCAGUUGUCACGGCAUAAAAAUACAUGUGAUUAAAACAUCCUGCAGAAUUCUUUUAAAAUUAAUUUCUAAACUUUUGCAAUAUAUAACUUCCAAACAAACAGUUUAUCCUGGCCAACACCCUCAGGCCGCUAGAUGGCAUCCUCCCUGCAACAUAGAGGUGCCCCGAAUUCCCGCAGAGCAUCACAGGGACAGGAGAAAUUAAGUACUUCCGGGCUGAAGAAAAAGAAGAGAGUUUUCAUCUGACCCGGAAGUGCUAUG